rnacentral:rRNA from 1 species
GACCUCGGAUCAGGUAGAAUGCCCAG